rnacentral:lncRNA from 1 species
GGCGCGCCGCGACGCCGACGCCGAGCCGGCGCUCGCGUCGUUCCUCUACGCCACCGUGCUCUCCCACCCCUCCCUCGACCGCUCGCUCGCCUUCCACCUCGCCAACAAGCUCUGCUCCUCCACGCUGCUCUCCACGCUCCUCUACGACCUCUUCGUCGCCUCCCUCGCCGCGCACCCCACCCUCCGCGCCGCCGUCGUCGCCGACCUCCUCGCCGCGCGCUCCAGGGACCCCGCCUGCGUCGGCUUCUCCCACUGCCUCCUCAACUACAAGGGCUUCCUCGCCAUCCAGGCCCAGCGCGUCGCGCACGUGCUCUGGGCGCAGGACCGCCGCGCCCUCGCGCUCGCGCUCCAGUCCCGCGUCGCCGAGGUGUUCGCCGUCGACAUCCACCCCGCCGCCGCGAUCGGCAAGGGCGUCCUCCUCGACCACGCCACGGGCGUCGUCAUCGGAGAGACCGCCGUCAUCGGCGACAACGUCUCCAUCCUCCACCACGUCACGCUGGGCGGGACAGGCAAGGCCGUGGGCGACCGGCACCCCAAGAUCGGCGACGGCGUCCUCAUUGGCGCCGGCGCGACGAUCCUCGGCAAUGUCAGGAUCGGCGCCGGGGCCAAGAUCGGGGCCGGGUCGCUGGUGCUCAUCGACGUGC